CUUGAAGUAAAUGAGUCAACACAGUCCACAUUUGAUUUUCAAAUUAAAAAGUGGCGGAUAUUUUGGUGGAAACUUGAUGAAAGCAAAUGAUGACACAAAAGUGUUUAUUUUACAUUCAGGAACUUGUAUUGAGUCGACAUGCUCCGCGUUUGAAUAUGAACUCCGUUUGAAAAACUGGCGGGCAGUUUGGUCAGUUUGGCAUCCUAUGAAUGUUGGUACCAGUGGCUGAUUUCCUGCACCGUGCACCGAUGCCAUUUUUCCAUACACACCGAUGCUUGGAGAAAACAAUCAGUGCUUUCAAGCAUUUGUUGUCAUUCACUGAGGAGCGCUUCAACAAAAUACAUUGUGGGGCACAGUGGACAUUUGCUUCAAAGUGUUCUACAUUUUAAAUAUGAAUUACCCCAAACAGCAAAUUUGAGUGAAUUUCUACAGACUGUAAACUUGUUUACCCAAACAGACAAUACAUUUCUAUCUUUUAAAAUGUUAUUGUAGUCUGCCUGCCUCUCACUCACUGUGUGGUAGAGGUCUGCAACCCGACGGGACCAGAGAACCCAGUGUUUCGUGCCGGGUUCGGGUCAGUUUUUCAAGUAGGACUUCGGGUUUGGGUUUGUAAUUAAUGAAAAAAUUAACAGGCUUACCAAACUUGUUUCGCGCACAUGCUCUCACUCACAGACACGUGCGAAAGGUGGAGUUAGGGCCCGUUCACAUGAAUGUGUUUUUGCGCGCAUCUGUUCUGUUUUCUCAUUGUUUAAACAAUGCUGGACGAAUGUCUUUGACAUUUGCACCACGUCUCGCUUUUUCUUCAGUGUCUCGCACAGGACUGGUAUAUUUUAAACACUAUGUCAAGUUAAAAAGAACUUCAAAUUGUCAGAUAUGCAUGUUGAGACACUUGUGCUCUGUUUCAUUCUUUGUGCUGCAUCUAGAUUGUUUUCAGCGCAGUUGUCACAAAGAUUCAACAUUCUAAACAAGUUCAGGCUGCAUAGAGGGGACAGUUGCAGUGUUUCAUAUUAUUCCAGAUUGUUCUGCACAAGGUGAAGUUUCAGCAAAUAAACGGUAAGGCAAUGCUUUUUUCAAGGGUCUGCUGUGCCUUGUUAAAAUUGUGUAUGUUUACUGUUUCAGUACUGUUACGAGUGUUGCCUAUAUGCUUACAUAAAAUAUAGCCUAUUGCAACAGUACUUGCUAGGAGAAGAAAUAAGUUAGUAAGCAACUUCGGGUCGGAUUCGGGCCUAAAAUCUGUGGGUAUCAUUUGGGCCAGGUAGGGUCAGGCCACACUGUCCCGGGUACGGGUCGUGUUCGGUUUCAAUUUAUGGCCCGUGCAGACCUCUAUUGCGUGGUUGUGGUAAAGUGAUUUUGAUGACAAGAAUUCUGUUUUAAAUUUUCAAAACAAUUUGGGUAUAUUUUAACCCAGCAUGCUGCAAUGACUUUGCAGCAAAGUUACUGAUGACAACAGUCCAACAGUUGGGAUAGUCAUUAAGGGAAACAGAGGUUUAUACUGAUGUCUCAGAUUUAAAGACAAAUUUACCUUUAGGUUUUCUUGCAUAUAAUAUAUAUAUAUACACCGAUCAGCCACAACAUUAAAACCACAUGCCUAAUAUUGUGUAGGUCCCCUACACAAGAUGGGCUGGUUUGAGUAUUUCUGUAACUGCUGAUCUCCUGGGAUAUUCAUGCACAACAGUCUCUAGAAUUUUCUCCGAAUGGUACCAAAAACAAAAAACAUCCAGAGAGUGGCAGUUCUGUGAACGGAAAUGCCUUGUUGAUGAGAGGUCAACAGAGAAUGGCCAGAUUGGUUCGAACUGACAAAGUCUACGGUAACUCAAAUAACCGCUCUGUACAAUUGUGGUGAGAACAAUAGCAUCUCAGAAUGCUCUUCUGAAAUGCGGGUUGGCACUCUUUUGGCGGCACAAGGCGGACCUACACAAUAUUAGGCAGGUGGUUUUAAUGUUGUGGCUGAUCGGUGUAUUCUUAUAUUAUUCAUUUGUGUUCACAGUCUUCAAGUGUCUCAUUGUAGUCAUGUUUUAAUGUGUUUUAGUGUGGCAUAUUAGUUAAAAAUGUUUUUUAUGUAAAAAUCGCUAAUUAAAUAAGUAGCUGAUCAUUUUUGCAUAUUCCGCUUAAUUAUGAAGUUUGCAAAAUGCAUUUGUCUUUUGCUGCUGCCAUUUUUUGUUUUUAAAUUUGUAUGUGAUGAUGCUGCAACAUUGUAAACUACACAGGUACUAUUUUCUAACUUUAUUUAGUGUUUAACAUUAAGACCAAAUGUAACUGUAGUUCAUGGUGAAAUAAUAGAUACUGUUCCUGUCUUGGACAUAUUUUGAUAUCAGACCUGUUUCUUUGUACUCCAUUUGUGUUUCAGUCUAUAUAGUAGCUGUUUUUGUAUUUUUCUUGGAUACAGUACAUUUACAAAUUUAUUGCUGUUGAAAUGUUUAAUGAAUUUGUAACAUUGUAAUAUGAAUAAAUAUUUUGAAUUUC